UAUGCACACACUGGCUGUUCUGUGUAAAAUCUGUCAAACAAAAGAUAUUAAAUUUGUUUUUACUUGAAAUAGAGUUAGGGCACUGGCUAACUAAAAGCGAGUUUUGGGAACUCUCUAUUCUGGACAAAGGUGUAUGGUGAAUUGAAUGCAGCACGUGCUUGACAUAUAUGUAAAUAACACAAUGUUGGAAGUGGACAAAAUGUUGGAAAAAUGCGGCGAUUUCAGUCGGCAGCAGCUAAUCAUGCUGUUACUCUGUUCUCUGAAACGCGGUUCGGUUCCCUGACUCGUAGAUUGAUCAGAGAUUAACUGCUGCCGACUGAAAUCGCCGCAUUUUUCCAACAUUUUGUCCACUUCCAACAUUGUGUUAUUUACAUAUAUGUCAAGCACGUGUUGUGUUAAAGAAUAUCAAGUCUAUUACCAAAGACAAUAUAUGUUUAUAUUGUCUUUGGUAUUACCACCAAAUUGUGUAUAGCGGCAAUUUUGAGGACGUGUUCUUCUUACUACAGCCUGCGGAUGGGGCCAAUAACAAUAGCAAAAUUGCCAUUCAAUAGAUCUUCAAGCUGUGGUAUGACUGAUGGACUUUCAAGAUACUUAAGGUGUUGGCUUCACCCUGUUCUGUACCCACCCACCUCCGACCAGGACAAAGAAUUCAACAAGUCUUAACGUGUGGUUGUCUUGAAUGAUAAUAAAUGUUACUAUGUCAGGAAA